CUGAGGCUUGGUAAAGCAGGUGAAGCAGGAGGCAACAGUGGGUCGGUGUCGAGGCUCCCACCUGACCUCUCCAGGGGGUCGACAGGAGGUUUCCUGGAUGCCAGGAAAAUGCCAGGGGUGGCGGAAAGUGACAGGGAUGAAGAAACCUCAGGUGGAGUUUCAGAGAGCGGGAUCUCAGCCUCAGGCAGGCCCAGACGGUGUGUGGUGUACUGUGUAGUUUUCCAGAGGCUAAAUGACAUGUGACACUGAAGCCAACUAAAUAUCAAAGAAGAUAUGAGUAUCCACCUGCAAAAUUGGAUGGAAUCCAAUUUCAUCUAUUAAGAUACCAAAAUAAUUUCCCUUUCUCACCUUGAAAUGACCUGAGCUAACAGAAGAAAUUUUCCUGCAUUGCUUAUGAGGAUCAUACAUAAAUCAAAAUGACCUGUUUGGAGGUUGCUGACAGUUCAGGCAUGGUGUCGGUGAUUAUGUGGAAUGCCCCGUGUCCUGAGUGGUUUAAAAUUUUGCGAGUUGGUUUAGUUUUUCUGCUUCAAGAUUAUUCUGUUAAAAAGAAUUAUCCAUUUAGAAUACAGCCUGUCCCCAUGGAUCCACAGAUCAAACUAAUUUCUACAAUGAAAAACACAAUAAAAGAUGGUGAGAGGAUGCUAAUUUACAACAUGCCACCUCUGCUAUAUAGAAUUGUAGGACCAGAUUUUCAUCAUGAAAACUCUCUAAG